GUGAGGGUCUUUGUCUCUCUUUGAGACGUGUUAACAUGAAGAGUGUCAGAAUAACCAGACGCAAACAUCUUAAUUAAAUGGAUAUAUCAGAUGAACGUAACAGAUAGAGGACACGUACGUUGAACUCUUACUUAGCAGCUGCACAUGCUUUUAACUCAGACGUCAGAUGCUGCCAAGCCAACAAACAACAAGCUGAUAGCUGUGUUGAAGUUUUUAGUCAUAUGCAGUAGCUUAGCUCAUAUGGAAUUGGAGCUCUAUUUUCAAACAAGAUAUAUCUAGCAGGUCGCUACUUAAGCUGGGUUUUAUUUUAUGGUC